rnacentral:pre_miRNA from 1 species
AGAAACUUAGAAACUAUCGUUGGAUCGAAAAAUAGACGUUCGAGAUUCGUCCACAUCACCAUAAGUAAAAUUUUUACUCGUGAUGACAUGGACAAAUCUUAGACGUUUAUUUUUCGAUCUAAUGAUAGUUUCCAAGUUUUA